CCUACGGGAGGCAGCAGUAGGGAAUAUUGCUCAAUGGGGGAAACCCUGAAGCAGCAACGCCGCGUGGAGGAUGAAGGUUUUCGGAUUGUAAACUCCUUUUGUUAGAGAAGAUAAUGACGGUAUCUAACGAAUAAGCACCGGCUAACUCCGUGCCAGCAGCCGCGGUAAUACGGAGGGUGCAAGCGUUACUCGGAAUGACUGGGCGUAAAGAGCGCGUAGGCGGGAUAGCAAGUCAGAUGUGAAAUUCUAUGGCUUAACCAUAGAACUGCAUUUGAAACUGUUAUUCUAGAGUAUGGGAGAGGUAGGUGGAAUUCUUGGUGUAGCGGUAAAAUGCGUAGAGAUCAAGAGGAAUACUGAUUGCGAAGGCGACCUGCUAGAACAUAACUGACGCUGAUGCGCGAAAGUGUGGGGAGCAAACAGGAUUAGAUACCCCUGUAGUC
rnacentral:rRNA from 1 species